CAACAACUCUGGCUGCUCGAGUUCCCGUUGUUACCUGACCACACGGCACGUCGGCAACUGUUAACAAAUACAUAGUAUUUGCAUAAUGCACCCCCGGCAACGGUUUAGAUUAUUGAAAUAAGCCUGAAGCUCGCGAUACUCCAGCAUCCAAUCGGGAGCCGAUUAUCUUCAGGAACCCCAUGCAAAGUGCCAGUGCCGCAGAGCCGUUAAGCCGCUGUUAAUAUCCCUAGGACGAAACACACGGCAUUAAAAGUAUAUACGAAGGGCGAAUUACCUCAAGAUUCUUCAUUCGCUCGUGAAUCAUCAAAGAAUUCAAGAAGAAAGCUGUUUUAUCCAAAGCGAUUGAAUAAUUGAAUCAAGAUCCAAAAAAUUGUAUGUCCCUGCGCGAUUCUCAUAUGCAUACAAAAGAUAUGUAAAAUA